UGGAUUGAUAUGCACGGUGUCGUGCUGAAAUCAAAGGAGGUGGGUAUCAAGUUAUCACCUAGCACGCAUGUUUUUCAGUGCCUAUGGUGAUGCACGUCACUUGUUUAUUUUCAUGUGCUUACUUUUUUGGUAAGCACGUCACAAGACAAGCACAUGACUGCACGUGUGCUUAUUUGAAACGGAUUUUUUUUUCUCAAAUUAUGUCAAGAGAUACUGUAUGAAACAAUAGACAACUCUAGUUAUUCAAGAACAAGAUGUUGUGAAAAUAAAAUCCGCCCGGAAUAGCAGUUUAGACGGAAGAUGUGGUUUACUGGUUGCAGUGGUUUGUUGUCAGCAGCGAUGGUCCGGUAUUCAAGUGACGGCACCCGUCGCUGACCUUUGUGACAGGCUUCCCUUCCUCGGCAUCAUGCCGAUUUCGGGACUAGGAACGACCAACAGGCGCUGUGUCUGAGUUCCUCUCCUUGGCUGUUUGGGAGCCCCGGUACCACUGUUCCGGGCGUAUCGAGGGGCCAUCCUUUGAAGGUAA